rnacentral:piRNA from 1 species
GUUAGUUGGUGAUUGUGAUUGGUUAAAGA